rnacentral:lncRNA from 1 species
AAACCAUAGGAAUAUAAAGCACAAAUAAAAAUCUAAAAGGAUUAAAAAUCAAUCUCACCAUUCCAACUCCAGGGAUAUCGAAAUAACAUCAUAUUUGAUUUUCAGGUUAGAUUUGAGCCAACCAAUUAUCUUAUUCUUUUCUAUCACUACUUCCGCACAAGUAAAACCAUAGCAAUAUAAAGCAAAAAUAAAAAAUUUAUAAGAAUUAACAAUCAAUCUCACCAUCCCAACUCCAAAGAUAUCGAAAUAGCAUCACAUUUGAUUUUCAAGUUAGAUUUGAGCCAACCAAUUAUCUUAUUAUUUUCUAUCACUACUUCCGCACAAGUAAAACAAUAGCAAUAUAAAGCACAAAUAAGAAAU